rnacentral:lncRNA from 1 species
UAGAGCCUUGACACUUGUCGGAUGUCAGGUGACAACCUCAACAAGGUAAUUCUAGCUGGUACAUUAGCUAGUUGUGCUAACAAAUCAUAAUCGAAAGGCUCAUCUAAGCCGGGCAAUGCUUUCUUCUUCACCCUAGAGUUUACAUUCUACCGUCUCGGGAAAUUUUCGGUGGUAAUCAAGCCCGGAGCGGGUUCUGUCUACAUCAUUUAGACUGACUAG